rnacentral:rRNA from 1 species
UACCAGCACCCCGAGUGGUCGGGACGAUUAUUGGGCCUAAAGCAUCCGUAGCCGGUCCUACAAGUCUUCCGUUAAAUCCACCUGCUUAACAGAUGGGCUGCGGAAGAUACUAUAGGGCUAGGAGGCGGGAGAGGCAAGCGGUACUCAGUGGGUAGGGGUAAAAUCCUCUGAUCCAUUGAAGACCACCAGUGGCGAAGGCGGCCUGCCAGAACGCGCUCGACGGUGAGGGAUGAAAGCUGGGGGAGCAAACCGG